AACGAACGCUGGCGGCAUGCCUAACACAUGCAAGUCGAACGAGACCUUCGGGUCUAGUGGCGCACGGGUGCGUAACGCGUGGGAACCUGCCCUUAGGUUCGGAAUAACUCCCCGAAAGGGGUGCUAAUACCGGAUAAUGUCUUCGGACCAAAGAUUUAUCGCCUUUGGAUGGUCCCGCGUUGGAUUAGCUAGUUGGUAGGGUAAAAGCCUACCAAGGCGACGAUCCAUAGCUGGUCUGAGAGGAUGAUCAGCCACACUGGGACUGAGACACGGCCCAGACUCCUACGGGAGGCAGCAGUGGGGAAUAUUGGACAAUGGGCGAAAGCAUGAUCCAGCAAUGCCGCGUGAGUGAUGAAGGCAUUAGGGUUGUAAAGCUCUUUUACCCGGGAUGAUAAUGACAGUACCGGGAGAAUAAGCUACGGCUAACUCCGUG
rnacentral:rRNA from 1 species